AUUUGUUUGUCGGACUGCCAGAUGGUGAAGCGUGAUUCAUCACUCCAGAGAACACAUUUCCACUGCUCCAGGGUCCAAUGGCGGCGAGCUUUACACAAUUCCAGCCAGUGUUUGGCUUUGCGCAUGGUGUUAGCCUUGUGUGCGGCUGCUCUGCCGUGGACGAACAGUUCUUGUGCGGAGGUUGCUUCCAGAGGCAGUUAGGAGCUCGGUAGUGAGUGUUUCACCCAAAGACAGACAUUUUUUAUGUGGACACCCCUCCAAUUCAUGGAGGGAAAUUGCAGAGGCGCUGGAGUCUGACCCAACCACUUGUUCAAAGAAGUGGGGUAGGUUUCGCGAACAGUUCGUCGAGGCAAGAAACAAGGGCCUCAGUGAAGAUACCAGUGGAAAGACUACUUCAGAAAUGUUGCUGCUAGCUGCUUCAGCACGUGAAGCAUGGGAAGACUGAAAGCAGCAUGCAAUCUUCAUCAAAGGAUUGGGGCACAAACAGGUGAAUGGAGACCACACCUGGUUUUGUUUUCUGCCCCCCCCAAGCACUACCAGCACUGCCUGUUCAACUGUCCCCAAGUCCAUCUCCCACACUGUGCUGCAGUGCAGAAUUGGAAACAGUCACUCACUCAACAUAGCAGUAGCAGCAGGGCUGUGAGCUCCUCACCCACUCCACAUAGCAGUAGCAGCAGGGCUGUGAGCUCCUCACCUACUCCACAUAGCAGUAGCAGCAGUAGAAGCAGGGCUGUGAGCUCUUCACUCACUCCACAUAGCAGUAGUAGCAGGGCUGUGAGCUCCUCACCCACUCCACAUAGCAGCAGCAUCAGGGCUGUGAGCUCCUCACCCACUCCACAUAGCAGUAGCAGCAGUAGUAGCAGGGCUGUGAGCUCCUCACCCACUCCACAUAGCAGCAGCAGCAGGGCUGUGAGCUCCUCACCCACUCCACAUAGCAGCAGCAGCAGGGCUGUGAGCUCCUCACCCACUCCACAUAGCAGUAGCAGCAGGGCUGUGAGCUCCUCACCCACUCCACAUAGCAGUAGCAGCAGGGCUGUGAGCUCCUCACCCACUCCACAUAGCAGCAGCAGCAGCAGGGCUGUGAGCUCCUCACCCACUCCACAUAGCAGCAGGGCUGUGAGCUCCUCACCCACUCCACAUAGCAGUAGCAUCAGGGCUGUGAGCUCCUCACCCACUCCACAUAGCAGUAGCAGCAGGGCUGUGAGCUCCUCACCCACUCCACAUAGCAGCAGGGCUGUGAGCUCCUCACCCACUCCACAUAGUAGCAGGGCUGUGAGCUCCUCACCCACUCCACAGAGCAGCAGCAGUAGCAGGGCUGUGAGCUCCUCAGCGAUGCCACAGUAGCAGUAGAAGCAGGGCUGUGAGCUCCUCAGCGACGCCACAGAGCAGCAGUAGCAGGGCUGUUAGAAGGGAGGAAAGAGCUGCAGACUCGGCCCUUGACACAUCACUGGCAAAGACAGAUCUCAAUCUGAUGACCGUCACGCACCUGAGCCACCAGCUUAUCCCUGAGGGCCCUGGUACUUAUAGCUGAUUUCAUGGACGAGGAAUUCUAUCAACAACUGCAUGACAUCAAGAAGAGGACAUGGUCCCAACGACUGGGACCCCAGUGAAAUUAACAACUUCUUCUGUUGUUCAGACAUCUCAGGAGUCAGACGCCGUUUUACUAUUGUUCCCAAAAUAUUUCUAGUCAGAAAUAUUUGUAUCAACACAAACUUUUGUAAACAACAUUUGUUGUUUACGUGUCUGGUCAUAGCAGACAAUGGUGUAUUGCAUUUUACUUUCAGAAGCCAGAAUAAAGAUGUAUUUUUGUGUGAUGAAAAAGCUCUGUUGGCUUCUUCGCAAUACAAGAUGAUAGAACGCAUUCAAUUUGAACAUCAGGUGCUGAUAACAUAGAUGCCAGCCACAGACUAACGUAGAGAAGAGGUGCGAGCCACAGACAACCGUAGAGAAGAGCUGCCAGCCACAGACUGAUAACGUAGAGAAGAGCUGCCAG